AGGAGAGUUUGAUCCUGGCUCAGGAUGAACGCUAGCUACAGGCUUAACACAUGCAAGUCGAGGGGCAGCAUGGGAUUAGCUUGCUAAUCCUGAUGGCGACCGGCGCACGGGUGAGUAACGCGUAUCCAACCUUCCCUAUAGUAGAGGAUAGCCCGGCGAAAGUCGGAUUAAUACUCUAUGUUUUCCGUUGCAGACAUCUAAGAUGGAACAAAGGCUUGCCGCUAUAGGAUGGGGAUGCGUCUGAUUAGGUAGUCGGCGGGGUAACGGCCCACCGAGCCAUCGAUCAGUAGGGGUUCUGAGAGGAAGGUCCCCCACAUUGGAACUGAGACACGGUCCAAACUCCUACGGGAGGCAGCAGUGAGGAAUAUUGGUCAAUGGGCGAGAGCCUGAACCAGCCAAGUAGCGUGCAGGAUGACGGCCCUAUGGGUUGUAAACUGCUUUUAUGCGGGGAUAAAGUUCACUACGUGUAGUGUUUUGUAGGUACCGCAUGAAUAAGGACCGGCUAAUUCCGUGCCAGCAGCCGCGGUAAUACGGAAGGUCCGGGCGUUAUCCGGAUUUAUUGGGUUUAAAGGGAGCGCAGGCCGGAGGUCAAGCGUGACGUGAAAUGUAGCCGCUCAACGGCUGAACUGCGUCGCGAACUGGCUUUCUUGAGUGAGUUCGAUGUGGGCGGAAUUCGUGGUGUAGCGGUGAAAUGCUUAGAUAUCACGAAGAACUCCGAUUGCGAAGGCAGCCCACAAGGCCUUUACUGACGCUAAAGCUCGAAGGUGCGGGUAUCGAACAGGAUUAGAUACCCUGGUAGUCCCCU
rnacentral:rRNA from 1 species